rnacentral:rRNA from 1 species
UACGUAGGGUGCGAGCGUUGUCCGGAAUUAUUGGGCGUAAAGAGCUUGUAGGCGGUUUGUCGCGUCUGCCGUGAAAAUCCGGGGCUCAACCCCGGACUUGCGGUGGGUACGGGCAGACUAGAGUGUGGUAGGGGAGACUGGAAUUCCUGGUGUAGCGGUGAAAUGCGCAGAUAUCAGGAGGAACACCUAUUGCGAAGGCAGCUCGCUGGGACGUUACUGACGCUGAGACGCGAAAGCGUGGGGAGCAAACAGG